rnacentral:rRNA from 1 species
AGCGAACGCUGGCGGCAGGCUUAACACAUGCAAGUCGAGCGGGCGUAGCAAUACGUCAGCGGCAGACGGGUGAGUAACGCGUGGGAACGUACCUUUUAGUUUGGAACAACACAGGGAAACUUGUGCUAAUACCGGAUAAGCCCUUACGGGGAAAGAUUUAUCGCCGAAAGAUCGGCCCGCGUCUGAUUAGCUAGUUGGUAGGGUAAUGGCCUACCAAGGCGACGAUCAGUAGCUGGUCUGAGAGGAUGAUCAGCCACAUUGGGACUGAGACACGGCCCAAACUCCUACGGGAGGCAGCAGUGGGAAUAUUGGACAAUGGGGGCAACCCUGAUCCAGCCAUGCCGCGUGAGUGAUGAAGGCCCUAGGGUUGUAAAGCUCUUUUGUGCGGGAAGAUAAUGACGGUACCGCAAGAAUAAGCCCCGGCUAACUUCGUGCCAGCCGCCGCGGUAACAC